rnacentral:rRNA from 1 species
CAGCAUACUGCCGUGAAUACGUUCCCGGGCCUUGUACACACCGCCCGUCACACCAUGAGAGUUGGAAAUACCCGAAGCCUGUGAGCUAACUUAAAGAGGCAGCAGUCGAAGGUAGAGCCAAUGAUUGGGGUGAAGUCGUAACAAGGUACC